UACAGAGGUCCCAAGCGUUGUUCGGAUUCACUGGGCGUAAAGGGUGCGUAGGUGGUGAGGUAAGUCGGAUGUGAAAGCUCGGAGCUCAACUCCGAAAUGGCAUUGGAAACUACCCAGCUCGAGGGUUGGAGGGGGGACUGGAAUGCUUGGUGUAGCAGUGAAAUGCGUAGAUAUCGAGAGGAACACCAGUGGCGAAGGCGAGUCCCUGGACAGGUCCUGACGCUGAGGCACGAAAGCUAGGGGAGCAAACAGG
rnacentral:rRNA from 1 species